CUACAGGCGGCACCAGUGAGGAAUUUUGCGCAAUGGGGGAAACCCUGACGCAGCAACGCCGCGUGAGCGAAGAAGGCCUUCGGGUCGUAAAGCUCUGUCAAGUGGGAAAAAAAUUCUUUGAUGAACAGUCAAAGGACUUGAUGGUACCACUGGAGGAAGCACCGGCUAACUCCGUGCCAGCAGCCGCGGUAAUACGGAGGGUGCAAGCGUUGUUCGGAAUUACUGGGCGUAAAGAGCGUGUAGGCGGUUUGACAAGUCAGAUGUGAAAGCCCCGGGCUCAACCCGGGAAGUGCAUUUGAAACUGUUUCACUAGAGUAUGGGAGAGGAGAUUGGAAUUCCUGGUGUAGAGGUGAAAUUCGUAGAUAUCAGGAGGAACACCCGUGGCGAAGCCGAUUCUCUGGACCAAUACUGACGCUGAGACGCGAAAGCGUGGGGAGCAAACAGGAUUAGAUACCCUAGUAGUC
rnacentral:rRNA from 1 species